UGGGGAAUUUUCCGCAAUGGGCGAAAGCCUGACGGAGCAAUGCCGCGUGGAGGUAGAAGGCCCACGGGUCGUCAACUUCUUUUCUCGGAGAAGAAACAAUGACGGUAUCUGAGGAAUAAGCAUCGGCUAACUCUGUGCCA
rnacentral:rRNA from 1 species